UCGGUAUAAAGGAGAUCGUGGUAGAAGUAAUCGAUAAAUUCGAAGCAGCGCCACCGACCAGUCAAGUAGUAGUCAUUGUGCUCCUACGAAACUCGAACAGUCAGUUGUGAAACAAUCCAGAACAAAAUGCCGGGACCAGGAUGCGACAAGUGUGCUGAUAAGUGUCAGGAUUGCAAAUGUGGCGACUCGUGCAAUUGCUGCACUUCCGAAUGCGGAGACAAGUGUGAUUGUAAAUCUGGCAGCGAGUGUUGUUGUUGUAAACCCUGUAAGUGCAAAAUUGGAAAUAAAGCAGCAAAUUGACCAUCAAGUUUAAAGGUGAAUGUUACAAUGACAAAAUCUUUUUCUCUCUAAUCCCUGUAACAUGAAAAUUAUAUUGAAGCGUAAGCUAUAGUAUUAUACAAGCAUUUUAUGUACUAAUAAAAUACAUACUUAAAGCGUUC